AUAAAUAACCCAUUGUUUGAGUUCAUCAGGUGUUGUAAGAUGAAAUAGUUGGUUAUAAAGAUAUAAGCAUACACUCUGUGAUCUUAGUUACAAAGAUAUAGGCAUGCUACUUCAAUGGUUCAACUUUAAUGGUGGAGUGUCACGUGUGUUAAUUGAUAAUUGAAUCAAUGGAACUAUUAAUCUGGGGAACUAUGCUAAACAAGAGAUUUAAGUGGUAUUACUAGAAUUCUCUGUGUUAAGUUGCACAAGAAUAAUCCGCUGGUAUAUUACUGUUGGCCCAUGUGCCUCCUUAUUAAUUGGUUUUCUAAAUUUGGAAUUGGAAGGGUAUAAUUCAAAAGCCAACUUCAGCAUCUUUAUUUUAUACUCAUUCAUUCAUUUUCUGCCACCCAUUUUCUUCUUGUUGUUAUACUUCACAAAAACCAUGAGUUGAUGUAUAUGUUUCUCUUCUUGAAAACUCAGAAAAAUCAUAGCUUUUGAUGGUGAAGAAGAAGGUAUUGUUUGGUCUUUUAAUUUUAGGAAUUGGUGAUGUGGCAUCUUAUGUGGCAUUUUAAUGGGACACGGUGGACAAGCUUGGCCCAAGCCAUUGGCCACGGUGGACAAGCGUUAAAAAUAGGAGCGAAUAUUGCAACUAUUGUAACGGGUUUUCAAGAAAACUCAUCUCAAGGUUCAAGAAUUCAAGAUUUUGGAAAUCUUCUUCAAAGCUCAAGUCUUUAAUUCAAGUUUUGGAGCGACUAAGGUACUGAUAUACAGGACGACACAUCUGCUCAGUAGGACAGCAUUCGUAUCAGCUUAUUGGUGAGCCCCAUCUCAUUCGGGGUUUAGUCAACUUUUGUUUUAUGAUUAGUUAUGCACCUAAGGUAUGCUGGGGGCCUUGUCCCAACGAGUAUGUUUUCCAUGUUCAGACUUAUGUUAAAGGUUUCAUAGACUAGACAAGUCAAUUAUGUUAUGUCAAACAUUCGGAGUCGUAUAGCCAUUUUGGCUCAUUCAUGUUAUUUCUGCACUCAUGUUUAAAUAGGUAUUUUUAUUAAGUAUUAU